UUGACUUCGCUCUUCCGUCAGAAAUUUGGUUGCCUUUCAGGAAUCCGAAUAGAAAAUUCAGUUUGUUUCACACUUCCGAGAAUACAGUUUCGGGUUUCCUAUAAAAAUUCGGCAGUUUUUUACCUCGGUUCGACCCAGGGACACUUUUAUUUCAUAGAUGUCCAUGGGCCUUGGUCCUGUGCCCCCUUCAAUCAUCGUUGGAGGGGACAGUUCCCAAAAUGUCUUACUUCAGUUGGACCCAACGACACUUUUAUUCGUAGAUGUCUAUCGUCAUCUUCAUCGUCAUCGCCACUUGGUCUUGUGCCGCCUUCAAACAUCGUUGG
rnacentral:sRNA from 1 species